rnacentral:rRNA from 1 species
ACGCUGGCGGCAUGCUAACACAUGCAAGUCGAACGGUAACAGGAAGAAGCUUGCUUCUUUGCUGACGAGUGGCGGACGGGUGAGUAAUGUCUGGGAAACUGCCUGAUGGAGGGGGAUAACUACUGGAAACGGUAGCUAAUACCGCAUAACGUCGCAAGACCAAAGAGGGGGACCUUCGGGCCUCUUGCCAUCGGAUGUGCCCAGAUGGGAUUAGCUAGUAGGUGGGGUAACGGCUCACCUAGGCGACGAUCCCUAGCUGGUCUGAGAGGAUGACCAGCCACACUGGAACUGAGACACGGUCCAGACUCCUACGGGAGGCAGCAGUGGGGAAUAUUGCACAAUGGGCGCAAGCCUGAUGCAGCCAUGCCGCGUGUAUGAAGAAGGCCUUCGGGUUGUAAAGUACUUUCAGCGGGGAGGAAGGGAGUAAAGUUAAUACCUUUGCUCAUUGACGUUACCCGCAGAAGAAGCACCGGCUAACUCCGUGCCAGCAGCCGCGGUAAUACGGAGGGUGCAAGCGUUAAUCGGAAUUACUGGGCGUAAAGCGCACGCAGGCGGUUUGUUAAGUCAGAUGUGAAAUCCCCGGGCUCAACCUGGGAACUGCAUCUGAUACUGGCAAGCUUGAGUCUCGUAGAGGGGGGUAGAAUUCCAGGUGUAGCGGUGAAAUGCGUAGAGAUCUGGAGGAAUACCGGUGGCGAAGGCGGCCCCCUGGACGAAGA